GGGAUCGUAGUUCAGUUUGGUUCAGAACGCCGGCCUGUCACGCCGGAGGUCGCGGGUUCGAGUCCCGUCGGUCCCGCCA
rnacentral:tRNA from 1 species